UAUGCUCUCCAAAAGUUCAAUUUUGGAAUGCAUACUUCAAAUAUGUAUUCCAAUUUUUAUUUUAGAAAUUAAAUUUUUGAAUAAAACCGAUAUAUGCAGGUGUAUCAUUUUAUGAAAAUUAUGUUCCAAUUUUUAUUUAAAUUUUCUUCAAAAAUUAGUAUUUUGCAUAAAAUAUUUCAAUAAAAGAGUAUUUUGUGUUUAAAAAAGCAUGCAAAAGAAUAUCUUAUAAGAAAAAUAAGUAGGUGCUAAUAGUAAAUACAUCCAAUUUGUUUCGUUUAUAUAUUCUUCAACAUAGUUUGGGUCAAAAUGCUCAAGGUCGGCCCAUUUUUCACCCUAUACAUUCUAUCAAUACCAAGUAGCUUAACGAUAUAUAAGAUUCGCUACCACUGAAGCAUGCGAAUCAUGCCUAAAAACGGCGCAACAAAUUUUUACCAGGGCAAAAGAGAAAGCAUAGAUACAUGUUGAGUUCAUGUCUAAUCUAUUCAAGCAAGCGAAUCAGGUAUACAAUUUAGUUUUGUUUUCAAAUUCUAAUAUGAUUCAAUUAUAUUCUAAUAUAAACCAAUAGAUUUACUAUUCAGAUAUUUCAAUUUGUAUUCUUUUCAUAAAAUGGUAGUUUGAAGAAUGAUAGUUCUAGAAAUUGAAGUAUUUGUGAAGUAUACCCCAAAUCAAAAUUUCAGCUCUAUUUACCCCUUAUUUUUAAGAUUUUCUACAACUUAGAAUUUUAUGGAUAGCGUUACAUGAUUCAAAAUGAGUUGUCCCAAAAAAUAAUAUUGGGAUAGUCAUAAACUCAGAUAUGAGGAUCAAAUAAAUCUGAGAAUCAAAUUUGAGAAUUAAACCUUCGAUUAGAAUUCACAAAGCUUUAAUAUCAAGCUUAUAUGCAAACAUAUUUUGGUUUUUUUUUUUUUUUGAACAAGCAAACAUAUUUUGGUUUUAGGGUUUUACUAGAAAUUUUGAAUAUUUGGGUUAUAAAUUAUUUGAGAUGGAAACUAACAAAACAUCAUAUGACAAUUUUAUCAUACGUAAAUCGAAUUUGGUUAUCCAAAAAAAUUAAAUGGUUCCAGAACCAUUAAUUUAAAUAUCAAUGUAGUCUAUUUGAAGUUUAUAAUUUACCUUGUUUUCUUCAAUUUAAAUAUCAAUCGUAGUAUAGAGGCUUCUUUUAUUAUAUUGUACAAUUACAAUUCUUUUGAUUAAUUUUAAAGAUUCUGAGUUUCAACUAAAAUUAAAAUAUUUAUUUUAUUUUAUGUUUUCUGAUUUGGAAUAUAGGUUGCGAAGGAAAUGAAGUUUUCAACAUGGAAUCUAAUAGAAAUUUAUGUUGUUCCAUGGGUAAGAGUAGUCCUCCUAUGACUCCUAAAAUAUUAAUUUAUUUCAACAUGUGACAACUUCAGGAAAGGGAAAAGGAAAUUCAACAGUGUCAAGGAAAUGGCAAAUCAUCUAUAAUUAUAGAAGAUGAUGCAAUCAAUGAAGAUGACAAAUCUAGAAAGAUGUGCUUAAAUGAUAUAAUGAAGAAGUUAUGCCUGACUAAUGGAACAUAUCCUUCCAAUGAGGUGGCUCCCCAAAUUUGCAAGACAUCCGAAUCAAUUAAGGUAACACUCUCGUAUCGUGGAGUUGUAUUCAAUCUAUUUUGUAGUAUAAAUUUUCAUGGAUACCGAAGAAUGCUCUCAAAAUAAAUUUGUGACAAGAAGAAAACAAGGUUUCAAACAUAGCUAUAGAUUCAAAAAAUGUUAGAAAAGUAGAAAUCCAAUGAAGAAAAUACAGUAAAUUAUUUUUGCUGCACUAAAUUAUACUUUCGACUUGGUCCCUCCUGAACUAAAUUCUUGACUCUGUUCCUACACACACACAAAAAAAUACUUAGUUGAACCAAUUAAGAGAAAUGAGGCCAAGAAUAUCAAUUACAAAUACAUCCGUUCCUCAAAGAAAAUGCAAGAUAGCUAGGUCGAAAAAGCACGAAAAAACGAUCAUAUCAUUUUGGGUUAACCCAUUAGAGUUGUUUUUUAGAUGGUCCGACCUAGGUCGAACUACUAAGCUUGUGGGCAGUUCCAUUAAAAAUACUAAAAAAAGUAGUUUAUAAAAAUAGUUUUAUUAUGUAAGACUGAAGUAUUUUAUUAUGUAAGACUAAAUUUUGAUUUCUCCAAGGUUGCACUUUUAUGAGUUUUCAUAAAUGCUCUCUACUUUUGCAUUUAGGUUUUUGUGUUAUUAGUCACUCAUGUAUGUUGAUUUAGAUGUUUUAUAUAUCAUUUAACUAAAUUUACGAAUACAUGUGAUUUAUUUUAAUGAUAAUAAUUUAUGUGAUACGUUUUUUAUUGCACUAAUGUGUAUAAAUUACAACAGUAGUUUUAUGAAAUUUUGAUUAAAAUUAUAUUGAUUUUGAUUAGAAUUAUUGGUAUAGAUAAUGAAUAUUUUGCACAUUUUCAAAAAAAUAAAAUAUAUAAUAUAACUUUUUUUUAUAGUCAAAUUUAUCGGCCUGGCCCAUCGGCCCGUGUAACCCACUUCUAUUUGAGCGCUUCUCUUUAGGCCUCCAAUAUCUCUAAUGGGCCCUAAAUACAUGCUCACCCAGUUGUUAUAUAUAUACCAGAUGAACAUUUUUUUCUUUCAAACCUAUAUCAAAUAGAUAUCUACCGGAUGUGUAUAUAGGGGGCCUUAGAGAUAUUGUGGGGUCUAAAGAGAAAUGUCCGUUCUAAUUGGAUGUGUUUAAUUUUGGUUGUCAUAAAUCAAAUGAGACUAUUACUUUUCCCACCCUACCCAUUACUCGCGCGUAGAGUUGGGAAUAGGCCAUACCGGCCUACAUGGGCCUAUGGUCUGGCCUGUUUAAGCCUAGCCUAGUUUGACCUGUUUAUGAAAAAAUGCUAGGCUUAGGCUUUUGAAAAAGCCUAAUUAAGUAAAUAGGUCAAACUUAGGCUAUCGAAAAAAGUCUACGAAGCCUGAUAAGCUGGCCUAUUUAUGGAUGGUAUUAAAAUUUAUUUUUUAUUUAUAUUAAAAUAUAAUUUAUAUUAAACAUAAAAAACAAGAAGAAAAAAAUUCAAAUAAUAGAUUUUUUAAAUAGGCUUUGAGGCCUUAUAGUGAAACAGACUUUUAAGGCCUUAUAGCAAUAUACAGGCCUUACCGUGAAAUAGGCUUUAAGGUCAGUUUAACCUAUUUAAAAGUAGAGGAAAUUGAAUAUUUAGUGACAUUAAUACGAAGUAGGCCUGUAAAUAUGCUUCCAAUCCAGGUCAGACUUUUAAAUAGGCCAGGCCAGGCAAAAAAAAUAGGCACAUGAAAGGCCAUAGGAUAGGCUCAGGCUUGCAAAAAAUUUCGUAGGCUAGGCUCAGACCUGGCCUAUUCCCACCCUACUUGCGCGCCUUGUAAAUUUUACAAAAAUGCCCAUGAGUAAUUCGGAUUUUAAAAUCCAAAAUGAUUUUUCACUAAUUCGAAUUACAAAAUUCGAAAUAUGCUUAUGUAUAAUCAGCAAUCAAAAUCUCUCCCAUUUCAGCAAUUUUGAAUUUUGCUUUUAAAAACAACCAAAAGACAAAGUAAAAAAAUGCUAAAAAUCUAUCAAAUAAAAAAAAACAAAAAAAAUUCUAAAAAUCAAAUAAAACUAAUGCAAAAAAAAUUCGUAUAUUUCUGAUAAUUUGAAGAAAAAAAAUUAAAAAUGGAUCAAAACGAUGAAAUUUUGGAUUUUGAGGGGUGUAGUCCCGUAAGAAGUCCCUUCUAGGGAGUCUUCAUGCUUGAUUUUUUUUCCUGAUUUUCUGUGAAACUUUCGGAACAAUCGGAUCAAGUAGCCCAAAUAUCAUUUUUCUACUCGGAAAAGCUAACAAUGACCUAAAAUAGGAGAAUGAUAGUUAGGAAGAUUAAUAAGAUCCUUAAAAUGACUAUCCAUGAUAUAAUCAUGUUCAGAACUGGUGGUGAUACAGUUCGGAUUAUAUAAUCUGAACUAUUUUUCCCUUGAAAUAUGGUGUUUAGGGGGUGUUCUGAUUCUAACAUCCGAAAAAAUAAGGUGUUUUUGAGGUUUUCAGAUAAUAAAAUCUGAAUUGGUGAAAAAACUCAUUUUUCCACCCUAUAACAAAGGAAAAAGUCAGUUUAGAUUUUAAAAUCCGAAAAUCACAAAUGCAAUUUUGAAAAAUAUACAGGGCGCAUGAGAAUGACAUAGGUGCGAAAAGUAAUAGUCAUAAAGUGAACCGUCCCAAUCUAACCCAUUUAUAUUAUCUGACCCACUGGACCGAGCGGGCUGGAUCGGACCAGUCCAUUUGACAACUCUAUAUGGAACAAUGUGUGUUUUCCUUGCCUUAUAAAAAAAACCCAACUUACAUAGGGUUUCAAACCUCCAACCCUUAGCAGCAGCCACUUCCUACCCUUUCCCCAACUGCCGCCACACUCUACCAUUUUCCGCCGGAUGCCUGUUUGGAUUAACUAUAGGUAAAUGUAUAAUCUGUUUUUAUGUAUGAAAUGUUUGUUCUUUUCAUGAUCUGGAUUGAGAUCUAUGUCCAUAUGUUCAAAGCUUGUGGCUGUUUUGUUUAUUUCCCCCAUGAUCUCACAAAGCGAGCCUUUGAUUAUAAUAGUUGUUUAAUUUAUAUGAUUGUUGUCGUGUUGUUGCAACUCUUAUAUGUAAUUUGAAUAAUUGUAGCUUUUUCACCCUCUAAGUACUCCUUCUACUUGGCGUUCUUUCAAUAUUUUCAAUAUAUUUCUCUUCUGUGUCUUCAAAAUUUAUAAAUAAAAAUUUUCUCUGUUGGAUCCAUUCAUUCGAUUUGUUUAUUUAUUUUAUUUUAUUUGUAUGCGUUCUUUUAAUUUUUAGCUAACCUAGAUCUGCCAUCGCUAUGCCAGGCAACAACUUGAUGGCACUGUUGAUGAUGAUUUUUAUUUCAUCAUCUACAAUGUCAUGCAUUUGGCCAUUCAUCAGUAAUGUUGAUCUUCUGUCUUCGAGUGUGAUUUCUUUGAUUAAACAGGUGAGGUACCACAUUAUAUCUUAAGUAAUGAAUUUGUCAAUUUUAUUUGAAAGUUGGUGGGUAAAUUAAUUGUUUAAUAGCAUUUUUUUUUUCUCUCCUUCUUCUUCAGAUUAAUAAGCAUCUAAUUGUGGAAUCUAUUUGUGGAGGUUCGGGACCUAUUGGAGGAGAAGUUUCACUUGUACGCCUCUAUUACCAAAUUUUUAAACAUAGUCAAUAUGGUUAAUGUUUUGUGUGAAUGUUUUAUUGGAUGGUUGCAUCAGUGUAACAAUUGUUUUAACUGCAGGUAUAUUGAAAAUGUAUAGAAACCCAGAAACCCACAAGUGCCAUGGGAUGAAAGGUGCAAAAAUGCUGAAAAUCUAGUCAUAAAAACAAAAGAAGAACCAAAAGUUAGUGAUAUUGAAUCUAAUUUAGUUGGAGGCAUUGUUAUUUCCGAACCAAGGAAAAUUGAAAUAGAGGGCAUGUGGAAUGUUACGAAUAACAAUGAUCAAGUUGAAUCUAACUUUCGUCAUAAAGGAAAAGAGGAAAUGAUUCAAACUAAUGAAGAGUCAGAUUCUUCAUUCCUUCAUUCUCUUCUGAAGAUGAGGAGUUAAGAUUAGCAUUACAUAAUUCACCGAUCUUUCAAUAUCCACUACAAUUUUGGAAAAGGCACCUCAGUCUUUUCGAUAUCUACUACAAACAAACUACCAUAUAGUGUGGAAAAUGAAAAUGGUUUGAUAGGAAACUCUAUACAUUUUAAAGCAGCCGAUGAAAUUGAUGGAGAAGAGGUGAAGUUUGAAUAGGAGGAGCACAGGUAAAAGUUGAUUCAAAAAGAAGAAGAAUUCCAAGAUAAGGAAAUAGGGAAAUGAUUGAAAUUAAUAUUCUUGUUGACUGUAUUAUGUGAAAAUUAUAUUUGAAAAAACAAGGUUGAUACUUGUAUGUUUAGUGUUGAAUCUUUAAUUUUACUUUAAGAUGGAAAUGAUAUAAGACAAUGUUUAAGUAACUAGUACAAAAAUUGUUGUUCUGAGAGGUUUAUAUUGAUUGUAAAUUAACGAAACAUGUUUAUUGAUUUUUAUUACUACUUAAUAACAAACGUUAGGGUGUAUUUUUUCUUCCUUUUUAUAUAGUGUGAAAACAUGUCUAAAGAUACAGGUCAUGAUGGUGACUGCAAUAUAAUUUAGUUCAUUAUGAUCAAUUGUUUUAAAGUGGUUUCUUAAUCACUCUUCAAUAGAAGACAUUCUCUAUAGUUUGUAUUACUUCGUGCAAGUUCAAUAGGUGUGGUCCAACCGAACAUCUAAUAAAAUGUUAACUUGCUAUCAAUUAAAUAUCUUGCACCCAGUUCAUGUAAAUACACUGUUUCUCGGUUAAGGCACAUUGUUAGUUUUUCUAUUACUUAAGUACUUAGUAUUUGCACUUUUGUACACAUCAUUAUUUCGUUUUGACGUUACUAAGAGAUUUAGAUCUUCGUGAGUAAAGUGAAAAAAUAAAGUUGUUAUUUUAACAAAUUCAUGGUUUGUUAUGAUGUACCUACAAUAUUUAUUAAUGAUUUGUUUAUUGACGGUUAAUAUUAUUCAUUUUACACCCUAACAAUGAAUUGCUCACUUUAGAGGAGCCAGAAUCUCCCAGCUAGGGAUACUUUUGUUUAGACUCACUGAUAUCUUUGGGAGUACAUUUUGUGGACAUCAAGUACCUAUUGCGCUUAUCACUACAAUUAUUGAACUUAUUAAUCGUGUUCUGGCUAUUGAUAUUCUCUGCUAUGAAUUUCUGAUAUAAUGUUUUCUUUUAUCCAUUUUAGUGCUUGAAAAAUGGCAAUUCAAUUUGCACCAAUUUUGCCAAUUUGUUAACCAUGCUGGAAAGGUAAAGCUUAUGAUUUCAGAGAAACCUAUUUCAAUAACAUUGCAUGAUAAUUUCCAAAAUCUUUCAUGCUUAAAGUAUACUGUAUAUAUAUUUGAUUCACUUGAAGCAUUUUGUUAUAAUUUCUGCUCCUUUCCACAACCAUUAUAGUGUCAAAAAUAUUCUGUUUUAUUAGUCAAAUGUAGUGUUCUAGAAAGGUAAAGUUUAUGAUUUCAGAGAAACCUAUUUCAUAAUUUCUUUUUACACAGAGGAUACACAUAAUCGAAUAAUAGCGUGUUCUCUCUUUUUAUAAAAAUUAAAAAACAAUAAACUUGGUUUUUGAUGGAAAUCAAGAGACUUGGUAUAAUAAUUGUCAAUAAAAACAGGUUCCUGUUUUUGUGUAGCGUUAUUCGUAAAAAUUAGCAUUUCCCCAUUGAUAUAAUGAAAAUGCAAAAUUUAACUACCAACUAACUAAAUAUAUUUUUGACAAAAAAAACUAACUAAAUAUAUUGGUAGACUUUUUUUUGAAGAAAUUUAUCAUUCGUAACAGAAUUCUAUUUAAAUUCAUCAAAUAUAUACGACGUCAUAUAUAAUAGAAAAUUUUCAACAUAGCUCUUUACUUGAACAAUUUUUUUUACAAGUUUUCUUUAAUAUCUUUUUCAAAUAAAGGAUGAGAAAAUAGGCACGUUCGUAGAUGAUUUUGCGCACCAAGGGCCUUGCAACAUAUCAUACCGUGAGGGUGAGACUAAGAGCCAAACAUGAGGCAAAUCAACGAACUACCCUCAAAAUUAAUCAAGCAGAGGCGGUGCAAUGUAGGCCACGUUGUGUGGGUAAUAGAGACAAUGUUUGCAUAUAAAUACUCAAUUUUUACAUUGUAAUAGAGACAUCCAAUCAAAUAUAAAGCUUAUUUCGCUAUUUUCAUCUCUUUAUAAAUACUCAAAUAUUAAAUUGCAAAAGUUAGUUAUUUGAAGUAUAUGCUCUCCAAAAAUUGGAUUUUGGAAUUCAUACAUUUUUAUUUUAGAAAUUAAUUUUUUGAAUAAAAACUAUAUAUAUAUGCUGGUGUAUCAUGUUCUAAAAAUUAAGUUCCAUUUUUCAUCUUAUUUUUUCUUCAAAAAUGAGUAUUUUGCCUACAAAAUUUUAGGAAAUGAAUAUUUUGCGUAAAAAAAAAAGGGUGCAAAAGAGUAGCUUAUAAUAAAAUUAAGGAAGUGCCAAUAGUAAAUGCAUCCAAUUUGGCACAUUUAUAAGUUCUUCAACAUGGUUUGGGUCUAAUUGCUCAAGGUCGGCCCAUUUUUAACCCUAUACAGUUUAUCAAUACCAAGUAGCGUAAUGAUAUAUAAGUUUCGCUACCAUUGAAGCAGGGGAAUCAUACCAUAAAUUUUGCAACAAAUUUUUAUUAGAGAAAACCUAGAUUACACAUUGAGUUCAUACCUAAUCCAUUUACGCAGGCGAAUCAGGUAUAUGAUUGUAGUACGAUUUAGUUUUAUUUUCAAAUUCUGAUAUGAUUCAACUAUAUUGUAACAUAAAUGGCUAGAUUUAUUUUUGGGGUAUUGCAAUCUUUUUUCUUCUUGCAAAAUGGCAUUUAUUUUCCGUUGUUUUUAAUCUUUUCCAUGACUUUGUGUUUUAUGGGUAUGCGAUGUUGGUUUUGAAAUGUGUUUUUUUUUUUUUUUUAAAUAUAGGGAUAAUCGCAAAUCCAUUCCAGAUCUGAGAAUCAAAUUUGACAAUUAAACCUUCAAUUUAAAUUUAGGGAGCUUUAAAGCCAAACUCAUAUGCUCACAUAUUUGGGCUUUAGGUUUUUCUUAGGAACCUUGGGCUUUGGUGUCACAAAUUAUUCAGAUUUAAGAUGGGAACCAACUAACUCUAAGAUGACAACAUUAAAUUGGCUAUUAAUGCUUCCAUGACCAUUAAAUUGGCUAUUGAUGUAGUUUACUUCAAUGUAUAAAUUAAUCUUGUGUUGUUCAAUUUAUGUUCAAUUUUCGAUUUAUCUUGUGUUGUUCAAUUUAUAUUCAAUUGUCAAUUAAUGGUCUGUAUGGUAUAAUAGAAGUACUUUGUCCUAAAUGAAUUCUUGAAUAAUUUUGUUCUCUUAAGGAUAUUAUUUAUCACCUAUGGUAUAUAUAUGCUUGAACUCUUAACGGCUUUUAGCUCAUGUUUUCAUUUAACCUUUUAGAAGCAUUUCACAAAUCUUAACAAUUUGAUACAAAGUUUGCUUACGAUAUUAUUCUCGUAUCUUAUUGGUAUAUAUCUUCAAAUCAUUUAUUUGAUUAGAAGAUAUAUUUAUUUAACAAUAUAUUUAUUUGAUUAUUAGAACCUUUAUUUCUUUUUAAUUAUUAAUAUUUAAUUUCUAUGUAUAUAUAGAGAUUAUGUUUAUAUUUAUAUAUAUACAAUAAUUCUUUGUUUUUUCAAUGAAGAAAUACAUGGAUUUGUGUUGAAAAUAAUUUUCAUAUUUACUCUUAUUUGUGGUCAUCAAGAUUAUGGCAUCAUUUAUCAAAAUUGGUUCAAUCUGGAUAGAUUUUUCGCAAUAUGAUCUCACGGAUCAACAUCAAUGUGAGCCAUCAACUAUAUGGUAAAUUUUAUUUCAAUUUAUCUCCUUAUUUUAAUCUGAUUAUAUUACAUAAAAUGUUGUAAAUUUAUAAACUGGGUAAGCUUUAAUCCAAAUCUUUGUUCCUAAUAUAAGAGAUAUCAAUAUUCAAAAUGUUAUUAGAUUGACCAGUAACAAAGUUAGUGAUUUGAUUAAUUAUAUGAUAAUUAGUGGCAAUGAGAAUGAAGAUAAUGCUCAAGAUGUUAGAAGAACAGGUAACUUUCAAUAUCAUUAGCUAUUUAUAUUUUUUUACUAUUUUAUAUUGUGUUGCUUGAUUUUAAUGUGUACUUAAUAUACACCAGAAAAAAUAGGUCUAACGGUGGAGGGCCAAAAAGAAAAUGUGACGAGCAUUGUUAUUUUUGAACCAAAGGAAAGUGAAAUGGAGGGUAUCAAUGAUGUUUCAAUCAAUAAUAAUGAUGAUGAAGCUAGCGUUGUUUAUAAAGAAAAAGGGAAUAUGAUUCAAACAAAUGAGGAGUUAGAAUUUUCAUCCUCUGGGGAAGAAGAAGUCCUAGCAUUUGCAUCACAUUUCCUACCCUUUCCAUAUGAUUCACUACAAUUUGGGAAAGGUGCCUCAAAGUUAUUUACAGGUGGAACUGAUUCUAGGCUCGAACUCAAUAUUGAUGAAGGCAUUGAAGAAAAUUUAUUGGACGGAUUUUACUUCCCUUCAAACAAUGUCGAAGUAAGUAUAUCAUUAUUUCAUUAUACAUAACCAUUUAAUAGUGUUAUUGCUUUAUAUAUGAUUUUAGCUAAUAACCAUUCAUAUAACAUUCAUUUUGCGUGUGCGCGCACCCACAUAUAUAGACAUAUCUAUGAAAAUAUUUUUUUUAACAAUCUAUUUUAAUAACAUGCAACAAAAUUCACACUUUUAUUUUAUCAAUUUUAUUUUUUAAAUUCCUUUCUAGGAUUAUGCAGUCUGAGUCAAGAUUCUCUCAAUUUAUUAGUCUCUCCAUUUCUUCCAUUUGAAAAGAUAAAAACACAGAAAAUUAAAAAUAAUUAUUAAUAGUGAAAUCCGCUUAUGAAUAGGAUCAGUACAUACUUUUUUGUAUCUAUCUCUCACCAAAUGACAUUAUCCAUUUAUUUUUAAGCAAAUGGAGAGGAUCUUGACUCAUGCAAUCUAUACUAGUUAGCUUAUACAACAUAAUAUAUAUUUCAACUAUUAUCAUAUUUCAUUUUUAAAAUCUCAGAUACUUAAUUUGAUUUCCAGUUAUAAAAAGAUAUGUUUAUUUCUGGCAGGAAAAUAAUGUGCUCAAAAAAGAGAAGGAAUGUGAGAAUGACAUAGAUGAAAUGGCCGUGCAAAAGGUUCCAGAGAUCCUUAAAGACAAACUACCAAAUGUGGAAACUUCAAAUGGCAUGAAGGGUCACUCUAUACUUUUUGAAGAAAGUCAUGCAAUUAGUGAAGAAGAGGUGAAAUUUGAAAAACGGAGCAGUGGAAAAAGUAGUCCCCAAAAGAAGAUGGAUCCCAAGAGAAGGAAAUAUGAAAAUAACUGAAAUUCAUAUCUUUUUUGGUUGUUUUAUAUGAAAAUUAAAUUGAGGAAACAAGGUUGAUGGUUGAAGAUACUUGGUUUUGUAAACUUCAAUUUUAAUUAAAGAUAGAAAUGAUAUAAGACAAUGAAAAAGUAGAUGGUAGAAGACUUGUUUUUGUGAGAGGCUUUAAUGUAACAUAUCAAAAUUCCAUUAUAAUUUUCUAUGCUACAAAAUAUUGUGGAUUUAUGUCUAUAAGUUUCUUCAUAUCAUUGAAGAGAAAUCCUUUGUAGAUGCAAUUAGGUUGCAAUUUUUGAUACAGUGAAAAAGCACAAACAAAUAUGAUUUAAUUGAAGCUUUGGUCUUUCUAUUUUGCUAAUAAGGUACUUUGCCUUAUAUAAGCAUUGUAUUGCCUCAUGAUUGGAAUCAAUGAAAAAUAAUACUCCCUCCGUCCCAAAUUGUAUGACGUUUUGAGCAUUUCACACAUGUUAAGAAAUGUAAUUAAUAUUGUGUGGGAAAGAGAUAUUAUGAGUUGUUUUACAAAAUUAUCCUUAAUAAAUGAUAUGAGAAAGAUAAAUGAAAGAAUUGAAAAAAGAAAGAGUAAUAAAUAGUUAAGGAUAUAAUAGAAAAAGUAACAUUAAUGUUUCAUUGGUAUUCUAAAGUGACAUACAAUUUGGGACAAAUAUUUUUUCUAAAGUGACAUACAAUUUGGGACGGAGGGAGUAAAUUUUAUUUUCUAACUUCUCUCUAAACUCUAUAGUGUGGUCCCUUCUCAAAUUGGGCCGUAUCACUCUUUCACUAGAGGCAUCUAAGGGAACCCUAAAAUUGCAUCCGCAAACAGUUGUGUAUCUUAAUGAAUACCAAUUUAUGUCUACAAUCUCAUACUUCUUUGCAUGCUCUAUGUACACAUUUUCAUAUCACUAUCAUCAGCGAAAUUGAAUGUUAUUCGCUUCUUUUGAACCUACGAUCAAUUGAUAACAUUACAUGUACAUCAUUUAACAAUGCUAAUUUAGAACAUGAACUAAAAUGCUUUGCUCGCAUUUCGCACGUAGAGGUCAAAUAUUAUACAAAUACUAUGAAAUUAAACUCGUUUGUAAAGUAACUUCUUCAAUGUAAAGGAGUCAAAAAUCCCACAUAGUACUACGCAAUUACUGUCCGAGAAAUAUUUGUGCGAAAGUAUCAGCGUCAAAUGACUUCUUCCGAUGCCAAUUGCUAGGAUUUCAAAAUGGGAUCCGGACCACCAAUUUUAAGACGGAAUGACAUUGUGUCUCUGUCUCUGUCUCUAUCUCUCUCUCUCGCACACUGUACGUACCUCUGUAUCAUUUUACUUAUUAUUUCUAUUUUAUAUAUUUUUCUCAUAAAAUACAAAUGAAUACACUAAGCCAUGGUGUCUUUUCCUUCGGAAAGGUAGUCCAAUCCAUUUCCUUCAAAAUGGUGUUGACACCAUGUUAAAAAUGAGCAAUAAAUGUUUUUUGAAAUUGGUUGAAGAUUGAAAUUGGUUUAAUCUUCAUAGAUUGAAAUUGGUUGGGAUGAAAGGUGCAAACAUGUUGAAAAUGUAGAUCCAAAAACAAAAGAAGAUAUAAAAGCAUAUGUCAAUGGCAAAAUGCCUAUCGAGUUUUCUGUAUUUUUAGUUGUAAAUUUCAUACUAUUGAAUUUGAUUUCAAGUGAUAAAAAAUAUAUUUCAUUCUUGCAGGUAAAUAGUGUGCCGGUGUGAGGAUGUCACACAUGAUGUAGAUGAUGUACUCGUGCAUGAGAUUGCAGAGAUCCUUACAAAUAAACUACCUUUUAGUGUGGAAAAUGAAAAUGGUAUGCUAGGAAACUCUAUACGUUUUGAAGCAACUCGUGAAACUGAUGGAGAAGAGGUGAAGUUUGGAAAGAGAAACACAAGUAAAAUUAAAUUCGAAAAGAUCGAGGAAUCCAAAAAGAAGGAAAUAGGGAAACUGGACUAGAAUUCUGCAAGAAGAAGAGAGGGUUGAUAAUCCGGUUUUGCAUCAGCUAAUUUUCGCAGUUGCAGCCACAGUUUGAUGUGCCAGAUACUUUCAGGUGGCUGCCUGAUGCAGCGGCUGGUUUUUCUGUUAAAGAUUGCUACUUGGAGUUGUCAAAUCUAUUAUGUUCGGCUGAUAACGAUGACUAAUUUGUGGCAGCAGUUAGGCGGAUAUGGAGCACUUUCAUUCCUUUGAAUAUAUGUGUCUGCGCGGGUGGAGGUCAUUGCAGGAUAGGCUACAUAGUGCAGUUGGUGGCAGGGGGUCUCUCCUUGUUCAUAGACUCAAAAAUAUUCAGAAAACUAUACAUAGUGCUUAUAACUUGGAAUCUACAUGGACCACAACAAAUAUAUGAACAUUCACUUAAAACAGAUUAAGCAGCAACUAAAAUUGUUUUCUAUGAUGUUUGGUUCUUCUUGGCACAAAAAUAUAAUAAAUCAAAAAUAAUAUAGAUACUACCCUCGGGCCUCAGCAUGUACUUUAGAGCUAAAGAAUUUCAAUAUUCAUAACUAUUAUAUUGGAGCAGUAUAUUGUAAUUUGUAACCCUUAAAAACUAGUCUUAAUGAUGAUGAAACCUCUGCAGACUUAGCCUUCCAAAAGAUACUUGUCUGCUAAAAAAAAUAUAAACCAUAAAGAAGUAGAUAUAUGAAACAAAUGGUGGAGCGCAAAAGCAAACAAAUGUGAUAAAGGAAACAUUGAUAGGGACGACUUAGAAUCCUCUUCAUUUCUUAAAAGAAAUGUGUAUUAAAUUUGAUUUUAUAGAGUAAGAAUGUUACCCAUCAAAUCUUUUUUCAACAGCGUCAAACUGUGUAAAUACAUCAUAAUUCAUUCGAAAAUGCUAGGUUCCUAUUUUUAGCCCAAUGUGGCUUAGCACCAUACUUGAAAAAUACAAUUUGUUCCAAUUCCUCCCACACAUCUUGGUUUAAUCUAGGAGUAAAUUGAUCAUUUGCACGAUAAUAGUUGAAAUCAAUCACUACAGAGUCUUCUGAUUGUCCUAGAUAUGCUUCCAAGGCUUUAAUGUAAUGUAUCAAAAUUCCAUUAUAGAUGUCUAUGCCACAAAAAAUUUCUGGAUUUAUGUCUCUUAGUUUCUUCACAUCAAUGAUAAAGUCUCCAAAUUUUGAAGCAGGGAAAAUUGAUGUUGACUCAUAGAAGAACAAUCCUUUGAUUCUUGGAUCCCAUUCACAUGAUGUGUCUAUUCUUGUUGAAUAUAAGCAUGAACCUGAAGUUAGCAUUUUACCUUGAUAGCCAAUUACAGGAUAACCGGUGAAGAUUAGGUGAUUGUUCUUCAAUCCAUUGGCUGUUAAUUUCUUGAAUCCCAAUGUAGUGGAUGCUGUUACGCAUUUUCUAUUCUUGUUUCCUGUGUUUUCCAGCAAUUUCUCUGCAUGACAACGUUUAAGUUAUAUAUUAUAGCAUCUUAUAAACUUUGACCUGAACUCAAGAUUGCAAAUUGUGGAUCGAUGUGCAGUUAGGUCACAAUUUUUGGUAUUGUGAAUAAUUGCAGACAAAUGUGCUUAGUGCAACCAUUGUUGCAGCCAGCGGCGUACUACAACUAAAACCAAGAACACUUAUUAAAUUGUGGUCUACAAAACUACUAGGUAGCACCGACAUUUGAAGAUGUGACUGAUGUUGACACUGAGAUAUGUGGUUACAUUCAAUUAUUCUUUUUUUUUUUUUUUUUACUAGAUUCGACGUGUCAUUAAUUAGCGUCAGUAGUGUGUUUGGUGUUCUUGUUUGUGUCACAGAUUUAUGUGGUCUAUGCGACCACAUUGCGAUCAUAAUUUUGGUCCUUCUAGCCACAUGUCUACAAUUUUUCAUGGUAUGAAGAAUUAUAACAGCAAUCGCAACCGCAUACGUAAUUUAGAACCUUUUCUUUAGUUUAUUUAUUGUUAGUCCAUGAGAUCACAUCUCAUUUGUAAAAGUUUGACUUUAUAACUUCAAGGGAGGAAGUUCAAAUCCCUCCGAAGACAAUUGUAAACUGAUCAUCAGUGUAACUUUAAUAAUAAUUUCUCCCUUUUCAAAGUUUUUUAAAAAAGUUGGUUAUUACUUGCUAUCUAAGAACAAUAUGACAGUGAGGUCCUCAAGCCAGUACCAAGAGUUGAACCCACGCCCUUGUGGGGUAUGAGCUAACUCCUUGCACGCUUGGCCAACCGCAAUUGGCAAAACUUUAUUAUCUUUAAUUGGUUAUUGCUUGCUAACAGAAAUAUGAAAAUAAUUUUAGAACAGCACAAGAUGAGAUCAUUAUUACCUGCUGCUCUAACUGACUGAGAUACCAAUAUUUCGUUGGCUUGAAAUCCAAUGAAAUCAUAGACUCCGUCACCAGAGGCAUCUAAGGAACCCUGAAAUCGUAUCUAUAAUCAGCUGUGUGCCUUGAUGGAUACCAAGUUAUGUCCACAAACUCAUACUUUUUUACAUGUUAUAUGUACACGUUUUCAAUAUCAUUAUCAUCAGUGAGAUUGAAUGUUAUGCUUCUUUUGAAUCUAUGCUCAAGUGAUAACUUCACCUGACAUCGUUUAAUAAUGAUAAUUUAGAACAUGAACUAAAUUGCUAUGCUAGCAUCCCUCACUAUGAGGUUAAAAAUUAUGGUGCCAUCCAAUUAAAUAUAUUUGUAAAGUAACUUCUUAGGUGUAAAGGAGUUAAAUCCUACAUUGUACUAUGCAAUUACUGUAAUUAAGAAGAAGAUUUGUGCGAAAGUAUGAGCGAUAAUUGACUUCUUCAAAUGACAGUUUCUUGGCUUUCAAAAUGGGAUCCAGACCACCUACUUUAAGGUGGGAAAUACAUUGUGUCUUUGUCUCAUCUCUCUCAUACAUCGCUCUCUUUCUCAUCUUACUUAUUGGCGAGACCUUGUAUUUGGAGAGCAACCAAUAUGUGAACAAUAUUCAAUCCUUUAUAGUCUAGUCUCAUACAAAGAGCAUCACUCGCGCAGAAAUUUACUCCAGCUGGUACACAGCAGAACCGGAGCUGGUUCUGGUGCAGCAUUCGGUCCAGUGAGGAAGAGGAGUGAAUCCGAGUUAUACUAGGCGUUGACAGAGGUUCAGUUGUAGGAAAGGGUGACAGAUGUGGUCAAGUGGCUGCUGGACGAAGACAACGGAUUCUCGUUCAAAACCUGCUAUAGUCUGCUGCUUGAUCUUCACUUUUCUGCUGAUGAUGAUGCAAAAUUUUUGACAGCAGCUCGGAGUUUUGUGGGACACAUCACUCCCCAAAAAAAUCAGUUUGUUUGGGUGGUAAUUAUUUCAGGAUAGGCUUCCAACUAUGGAAUAAAGAAGGAGAGGAGUUAGUCGGAACUUGCACCGACAAUACUGUGUCUUUUGCUUUGAUGGAACAGAGACAGUAAGUCAUUUGUUCGUGAAUUGCAGAAAGACUCAAAAUAUGGGAUUUAAUUUUUAGAUGGCUAGAUUGGAAAGCAGUCGAAUGGAGAAAUGCAUUAAUUGAUAACUUCAUGCUGUUUAUUUCGCUUUGUAAAGGAAAGAAUGGUAAAAAAGCGUCUCAUCUAAAUUUUCUAACAACUGUUUGGUGUAUUUGGUUGGAAACGUAAUGUAACGAUAUUCUUUUUAACGGGAAAGAUGUCAAUGUUCAUGAGAUGGUUGGUCGAAUUAAGCUGUUGUCAUGGUCUUGGUUUAUUUAUAGGGCGGGUAGAAACAAGAACUUUGUCUUCUCAAAUAGGUGGACAAAUCCACUUCAUGUUUUACGAUGCUUUUGAAGCAAGUAAAUUAUUUCCUUGUGGUUGAUUUGUUCAGUUUGUUGAUGACUUCGGAUGUGAAGUUUUUACCGUGUAAGGAGGUUUGAAUUGCAUUGCUUCAGGGUUCGUUUCUGUUCUGUCUGUGUUGUAGUAUGCAUGGUUAAAGUUUCUCUUAGCUUUUGUGACAACUAAAUUGUUCUGGUGUACUUGGUUUAAUUUGUACUACUAGUGUAGUUGUACUCUGCUUCAAAAGCGGUUUUGCACAUUUAGUGUGGUUGAUAACGGCUUUGUGCAUUUGGUUGAAACAAAACAGCAUUCUUUUUAACGGGAAGGUGGUCAAUUGCUUGGAGGUGGUUGAUUGUAUAAAGCGGUUAUCUUGGUCUUGGUUUAUAUGUUGGUCUUGGGUUUAUACGUAGGGAGGGGUCAUAAACAAAAAAUUUACUAGCGUGUAUUCAAAGUGUUUGAUCCUAUAUUUUCUGUAAUGGUUCCCGAGUACUGUUGCAUUGGAGAAGCUCUGCUGCUACCAUUAGCCGUGUUUUCUGUAAAGACUGGUUUUUUCUGAUGUGAAGAGUGUGGGAUUGUUUGUUGUACGAGGCUGCCUGGUGUCACUCUUGUUGGGAAUGCAGGAGAAACUUUGGUUCUUAUAGUCUGCAGUUGGUUUCAGGUUUCUCCUAGUUCAUAGACUCGAAAAAAAUAUAAAGCAUAAAGAAGUAGAUAUAUGAAACAAAUGGAGGAGCGCAAAAGCGAACACGCAUGAUAAAGGUGUGAUAAAGGAAACAUUGAUAGGGACGGCUUAGAAUCCUCUUCAUUUCUUAAAAAAUAUGUGUAUGAAAUUUGAUUUUCUAGUUAGAAUGUGAGACAUCAAAUCUUUAUACAACCGCGUCAAACUGCUUGAAUACAUCAUUAUUCAUUGGAGUGAAUCAAAGUACACAAAUGUUGAUAAAGACCUACAAACUCUAGCUUCCUUGUAGACAAGUCCAUGACUACAAUAAUCCCCAUUUUGUGGACUACAAUGUCUAUCUUCACAACAACUAAAAUAAAAGCCCCAACACCUACUAAAUUCUUUUAUUUACAAGACAAGAAUAUACAAUUAAUUUAUUCUCUAUCUAUUGUGGACUCCAUAUGAAUGAAUACAACUAAAGUGAUGACAUGUUUACAUAUUCAAUUGUUGAAGUUAGUUUUUUUAAGUAUAUUCUCUCCAAAAAUUGAAUUUUGGAAUAAGCAUUUGUCUUUUAGAAAGUAAAUUUUUGAAUAAAACCUAUAUAUGUUGGGGUAUCGUGUUAUGAGAAUUAUGCUCCAAUUUUUAUUUAAAGGCUUAAUUGCAUGUUUGGUCUCUUGUGUUUAUUUUAGGUUUUAAGUUGGUCAAGUGACAGAAGAGACUAACUUAUUCCAAUGUGAGUAACGUUUUGAACCAACUUGAAAAUUUUAAAACAUAAGGGACAAACUUGAAACUUUUAAAAAAUAAGGGACCAACUUAAAACCUAAAAUAAACAUAUGGGAUCAAACAUGCAAUUAAGCCUUAUUUAAAUUUUGCUUAAAAAAUAGUAUUUUGCAUAAAAGAUUUCAAUAAAUGAGUAUUAUGUGUUUAAAAAAGUAUGCAAAAUUGUGUAUUUUGUAUUUAAAAAAGAGUGCAAAAAUGUGUAUUUUGUGUAUAAAAAAGUGUGCAAAAGAAUAUCCUAUAAGAAAAAUAAGGAUGGGCCAAAAGUAAAUGCACCCAAUUAUUUUCAUUUAUAAGUUCUUCAACAUGAUUUGGGUCUAAACGCUCAAGGUCGGCCCAUUUUUCACCCUAUAAAUUUUAUCAAUACCAAGUAGCAUAAUGACAAAUAAGUUUUGCUACCAUUGAAGCAUGUGAAUCAUGUGUAAAAUCAGUGCAACAAAUUUUUACAAGAGCAAAAGAGAAAACUUAGAUGCACAUUGAGUUCAUGCCUAAUCCAUUCAAGCAGGAGAACCAGGUAUACGAUCUUAGUACGAUUUAGUUUUGUUUUCAAAUUCCGAUAUGAUUCAGUUAUAUUGUAACAUAAACGACUAGAUUUAUUCUUGAGAUAUUUCAAAUUCCGAUAUGAUUCAGUUAUAUUGUAAUAUAGGGAUGAUCGUAAAUGCAGAUCUGAGAAUCAAAUUUGUGAAUUAAACCUUCAAUUAGAAUUCAGAGAGCUUACAAAUCAAGCUUAUAUGCAAACAUAUUUCGGUUUUAGGGUUUUAUUAGGAAUUUUGAAUUUUCUGGUUAUAAAUUAUUUGAGAUGGACACUAACAAAACAUCAUAUGACAAUUUUAUCAUACUUAAAAUCAAAUUUGGUUAUUGGAACAAAUUAAAUGGUUCCAAGACCAUUAAUUUGGAUAUCAAUGUAGUUUAUAUGCGGAUGAUACUUUGUGUGUGGGGAAGGCAUGGAGAAUUUGUGGACUUUGAAGGCGAUUUUGAGGGGGUUUGAAAUGGCGUCCGGUUUGAAGGUAAAUUUCUCCAAAAGUAGUUUCAUUGGUGUGAAUGUUCCGAAUGCUUUUAUGGAUAUGGCGUGCGACUUCCUAAAUUGUAGUCGCGGGAACAUUCCUUUUAUGUAUCUUGGCUUACCGGUGGGAGCAAAUCAUGGUAGAGCCAUAACGUGGGAUCAUCUUGUGGGCCAUUUGAAUAAACGGUUGAACUCUUGGGGGAAUAGGUAUAUUAGCCUUGGAGGUAGGAUUGUCUUACUUAACUCGGUACUAAAUGCCAUACCUAUCUAUUAUUUGUCAUUCAUGAAGAUGUCGGUGAAAGUUUGGAGGAAGAUUGUUAGAAUUCAAAGAGAUUUCCUUUGGGGGGGAGUGGAGGGGGGGAGGAAGAUUGCGUGGGUCAAGUGGUCAAAGGUAUGUUUACCAAAAGCUAGAGGAGGUUUGGGGGUGAGGGAUGUCCGGAAGGUGAAUUUAAGUCUCUUGGCAAAGUGGCGAUGGAGGCUAAUCCAUGGUGAGAAUUUGCUAUGGAAAGAGGUGCUUUGCGAGAAGUAUGGCACACAAGAGAUUAAUGGGUUUGAGAGUGAUUCUAAUGUUUGGCCGGGCUACGCUUCAAAGUAGUGGAAGGAUUUGAUGGGAUUAGACCGGAGUGGGAAUUCCAAUUGGUUCACUUCGGAGGUGGUUAGAACGGUGGGAAAUGGAAACAAAACUAGCUUUUGGAAUCAUGUGUGGGUAGGGGAAGAAACUUUUAGGAGUAAAUAUCCGCGGCUUUUCGACAUUUCAAAUCAAAAGGAGGUGACUAUAGGGGAUAUGUGGGUGCAACAAGGGGUUUGGGAGUGGUCUUGGAGAAGGAUUUUUUUUGUGUGGGAAGAAAACCUCUUUGCGAACUUGUUGAGGGAUGUAGAGGGUUGUAGGCUUUCCGAUGAGGAAGACCGGUGGGUUUGGAAGUUGGAGGAAAAGGGGGUUUUUUCGGUAAAAUCUAUGUUCAAGAAGUUGGAGAAUGUGUUGGGUGUGGAGGAUGAACCUAGGGGCUGGGAGAGGGGAGUGUUUAAGGAUAUUUGGGAAAGUCCGGCGCCUUCUAAGGUGGUGGCUUUUUCGUGGAAGCUUCUUUAUGACUGGAUUCCUUGUCGGAGAAACCUUGCCGUGAGAAUUCAAUGUCCUCCCUCCGGACGUUCCUUUGACGUGUGUUCUUUGUGAUAGCGCGGAAGAGUCCUCGAUUCACUUGCUUCUUCACUGUCAAAUUGCUAGUAAGGUUUGGAAGCAUCUUAUGAGGUGGCUUCAAGGUAUUUUCAUUACUCCGCCGAAUCUCCUUUACCAUUGGGAGUGUUGGAAUAAUAUGGCGAUUAAUAAGAAAGUUCGUAAGGGGUAUCGGCUCAUUUGGCAUGCAACAGUAUGGUUGUUAUGGAAAAUUAGGAAUGACAAAAUCUUUAACAAUGGGGGGUGUGACGUGUCUCGUAUCGUUGAAGAGGUGAAGGUUUUGUCGUGGAGAUGGAGUCUAACGAGAUUGGAUAUACCUGAGUGUUUGUUUUAUGAGUGGGCGUGGGACCCGAAUGAGUGUUUGGUUCGGGUUUUGCCUUAGGGGAGCCGGUGUUUUGGGUCUGGGCUGCUAGCAGGUUUUUUGCUGAUGUGGGUAUGUGGGGCUGUUUUAGCUGCUGUUAGCAGCGCCUCAUCUAGGCUGUUCUAUCUGUGGGUUCAUUUAGUGGGGUGGUUUAGCUAUGUCUCUGAAAUUUGGUUGUGUUGCUGAAUUGCAGGGCCAUAACUUCUGUCAUCUAGGACUGGUAGUUGGAGUUUUUUCUUCUGGUGUCUGGUUGGUUCGGGUGCUUUGGGUAUAUCCGACAUCUUUUGGUUUGUAUUCCUUUGCGUACCUAGUGCGUCUUGUGCGGGUAUUGCUUAAUAAAUUUUGCUGUUUCAAAAAAAAAAAGUGUAAUCUAUUUGAAUUUUAUAAUUUAUUUUGUGUUCUUCAAUUUGUGCGCAUGAUGAGAACAUCAUUAUAGAGGCCAGUUUUAUUAUAUUCUACAAUUACAAAUUUUUUGAUUAAUUUUAUAGAUUCUAAAUUCCAACUAAAAUUUAAAUAUUAAUUCCAUUUUAUGUUUUGUGACAUGGGAUAGGUUGUGAAGGAAAUGAUGUUUUCAUCAUUAAAUCUAAUAGAAAUUUAUAUUAUUCCAUGGGUAAGAGUAGUCAUCCUAUAACCCCUAAAAUACUAAUUUAUUUCAAUAUGUGACAACUUCAGGAAAGGGAAAAGGAAAUUCAAUAGUGUCAAGGAAAUGGCAAUCAUCUAUAAUUAUAGAAGAUGAUGCAAUCAAUGAAGAUGACAAAUCUAGAAAGAUGUGCUUAAAUGAUAUAAUGAAGAAGUUAUGCCUGACUAAUGGAACAUAUCCUUCCAAUGAAGUGGCUCCCCAAAUUUGUAUGACAUCCGGAUCAAUUAAGGUAACACUCUCAUAUCAAGGAGUUGUAUUGGAAACUAUAUUAUAUGACAUUCAAUCAUUUGGCGUUAAUUAAUCUUAUAUAUUUAAUUAUUUUCAAUUGAAUUUACGUUUUCAAUUAAUUUUGUUUUAAUUUUCAUGGAUACCGAAGAAUGCUCUCAAAAUGAAUACGCGACAAGAAGAAAACGAGGUUUCAAACAUAGCGG
rnacentral:lncRNA from 1 species